ACAUAAAUUGAUCAAAUUACAGUGAACAGAACUUACCUAAGCGUGACUUCAGCCCUUUGUACAAAUUUUGCGAACUUGUUUCGUCACAAUUAGUCACAAACCCCCUUUCCUAAACAUUAAAAGAGUUUAUCUUUAUCAAUUCUUAUUAGUCAGGGAAAGACGAAAAAUGUCUAAAUUGCUUAUGACCUUUAAACGUUACGAUGUGCAAAUAAAGUAAGUAUUUAUUGAGUAAGUGGGUUCUAAAAUUUUCCGGUAAAUGUUGAUUGUGCUGUGCCUUUCAUGAGGCCUUCUAAGAAGAAGUUAUUCCGUAAAGAUUUUCACCCAGUAGUAUUUACACAGACAGUUACUUAAACCUAAUAAAAUUUAAGAACUUUUUUGAGCAAUACUUAUUUCAACAUAAAAUGUUAUUUUUGUACUGCAGCGAAGCUGCGGUAAACAUUUGAGUACUACCAUGAGCUUUUAUGACUAUUUAGUUGAUCAUUAAAUUCCGUAAUAGUUUUAUAAGUUGUCGUAAAGUUAGGGUAAAGACGGCUGGGCGCCUAAUUUCAUAUUGAGUAACUGACGUUGCUGUGUGAUGCUCGCAACUACUCAGUAAUUUAUUUUUAUGAGAAGGGCCUAGGUAAGAUUUUAACUCAGGUCUCACUGAUUCGUCGCACUUGAAUGCGGAGUAGCUUCAAUUAUUUUUUCCAAAUAGAUGUAGCAGCUCUAUUUAAUGACUUCUGCAAUACAAUGGCCCGAUCCAACUGCUUCAUACUUAUGAAAUUGUCAACUCACUCGCCUAGACCAAACCAGGUUUGAAUCUAUUCUGUUUGCUGUCGAAUGGAAGACGAUUUGGUUAAAAUGAGAAUGUGAAUGAAUGUUUUAUUACUUCACUAAUGCUCUACUAAUGCUCUAAAGGCUAAUGCUCCACUAAAUUGUAGAUAAUAAAUAAAUUGAUACUUUUUCUUUGUGACCCUCUAGUUUUCUUUGCAAGUAUUUUUUUUCUCUCCUCUUUUAUUCAUUCUUGUCAAUUUCGUUGUAGGUUCCAAGACAGACAUUAUUUUUUCUGGGACACAUCAGGCCCAAGUGUUUCAGUGAUGUUUAUUGGUGUCAAUGUAGAUGCUAGCCUUCAGGAGUGGUUGCUGAGCAUGAGUGUUUUUUGUUAUCCCAAAAAAGAUAGUCUACGAGGUUUGUUUGGGACCUAUGAAUCAGGUUCCCAAAUGCUUCUGGAGUGCACGGAAGUAUUUACUUAUUAAACCACCGGGAACGAAUUUCUUAAGGAGCCUGCGAGCCUCUAUCUAUAGGAAGAAAGAUCCCCAAAAACCACCCAACGCAUUAUGAGCUAAUUUGGAGCCCAAGUGCUUAAAAGAGAGUUCACCACUGAGUAAUACUGGCAUCCCCACUCCGACAACACAGAAAGCUAAUCUUAUCUUUCAAAAACGGAAAAAUAAUGAUGGAGUUGAUAGACUUUCAUUGAAUAAAACUUGAAAAACCCCA